CGCCGCUGCCCCGCGACCCCGGCCCUGCUCCGGGCCAGCACCGGGGUUCGGCGGGGGCGGGAGUGUGGGCCGCCUUCCGGGAGCGGCCGCCCCUCCCUCUGGGAGUGGCUGGGAAGAGAAAGAGGCCCUCUCCCGGCGGGGGCCGCUGGUCCAAGUUUGGGACCCGAUUAAGGUUACGCGUGCAGCCCGGCGAAGCCCGCGUGGCCCCGGCGGCGCGGCGCGGGGGCGUGUGCACCGGGAGGAGGCGCUGGAGAACGACCACGGGGGGGCGCUGUGCGCGCGCUCUGGAGCCUCGGUGGCUCCGCCGCUGGAAGGCUGGAAGGCGAGCGGAUCAGAGUGAAGCAUCGUCUCACCUUUACUCCACUACGUGUAACCUCGCAAUUUAGAACGUUGCCGUGUGCAGCUCCGUCGUUCACGGAUGCGACGGACGGUGCAACUUGACCUGAAAUAGCAGCAGAGUGUCUCGGGGUAGCUGAAGCUAACAUGAAGAGAAUAGCUGGAGAUGAUCCAUUGCCAUCUCAAGAUGACCUGAAGUCCACAAUGCUCAGCAAAGCUGGAGUGAGUGAACUCCUUACUUCUACCUGCCAAGAAGCUCCAUGUUGCUACAGUGUCCAUUUUGUCCCAAGCAACAGGUUAGGGAGGAGUAACAGGGUCUCUAUGGUAAAAGGAAAAAACACUGAGGUAACAAAGAAUGCAGCAUCGACACGCAGAAGGGCCUUUCACACAUCAGAGGCAGACCUGUGUCUGUGGCCCUGGUCUCUGUUUGAGUCCCUCUUUUGUAGCCUCUCCAACACUUAGUUGGGGCCACCAAAGCUGCCUUAACCCGCAGUACACAGUAGUUCACAGCAUCACUUGGAAAAGAGUUUGGAACUUCAACCUGGAAGGCCAUGGAUUCACCUCGGACUCCUGCUCCUUCUCUCAGCCCAGACCCAGCUUUGCUACAGCUCAGAAAACCUGAGCAGGACUCUCCCCUUCCCCACUCUCCCUGGACUGGCCAGAAACAGAAAGAGCCUGAAAGUGAUAAAUGUUGGGAAGGAGAAAUGAAUUAAGGCACAGGUGUGAGGAGCCAGUGAAGAGAGUCACAAAAUAUUUUCGAGAAAAGCUUCUUGUGGCAAAUUCCGUUUUUCCUGGAGCUACCCAAGCCCAAGACACACUUCUGGAGCCAGCCAAGGAAGAGGCCCAUGGAUUUUUAAGUAUCUUGAAAACAAAAGAAAUGCAGGCAGAGGCGCCCUAUGUAUUUAUGAGCAGACAUGAUUCAACGCAGUAAUGAUGCAUUUGUUCUUUAUGCCCAAAGACAAAAUUACUGGUAAAACAUCAAGGAAAACCCUUGGAAAAGGAAAAGCCUCAUAAUAACAAAUAUUAAUAGCUACUCUAAAACUGGCCUUUACCAGGUUCUGGGCACUGUUCUAUGUCUUUCAUGCACAUUAUUUAAUCUUCGUAACAACCUACAAAGUAGAUACUUUUAUACCCCCAAUUUGCAGAGGGGAAAACAGAGAGGCUGAGUAGCUCACUCCAGGUCAGACAGCGAGUUAGAGGUGGAGCUGGGAUAGGAACCCAGAUGGGGCCACUCUGCCUGACCCUUGACUCCAUGCUGUCUUGUGAGGUGAAACACUCAUAAAAGACAGACACCAUGAGUUGUGGUUUUCCUUAAGAGCUAAAAAUUUCUUCCUUGAAAAUAAAGGCUAAAAAGCCCAUCCACAAUUACAGGCUUUCACAAGAAAGUAUGUUCAGGGCAACUGAGUAUGGCAUA